UACGGAGGAUCCAAGCGUUAUCCGGAUUUAUUGGGUUUAAAGGGUGCGUAGGCGGAAUAGUAAGUCAGUGGUGAAAGCCUGCAGCUUAACUGCAGAAUUGCCAUUGAUACUGCUAAUCUUGAAUGUAGAUGAAGUGGGCGGAAUGUGUCAUGUAGCGGUGAAAUGCUUAGAUAUGACACAGAACACCGAUUGCGAAGGCAGCUCACUAAACUAAUAUUGACGCUGAGGCACGAAAGCAUGGGGAGCAAACAGG
rnacentral:rRNA from 3 species